UUACGGUCACACCAAAUUCAAACACCAGUUCCUGUACCAUCACCGAAGUUAAGCAAUGUCGAGCCUGGACAGUAACUAGAUGGGUGACCAGUUGGGAAUACUAGGUGA